UACGUAGGGUGCGAGCGUAAUCGGAAUUACUGGGCGUAAAGCGUGCGCAGGCGGUUCGUUAAGUCAGAUGUGAAAGCCCCCGGGCUCAACCUGGGAACUGCGUUUGAAACUGGAAGGCUUGAGUGUGGCAGAGGGGGGUGGAAUUCCACGUGUAGCAGUGAAAUGCGUAGAGAUGUGGAGGAACACCGAUGGCGAAGGCAGCCCCCUGGGCUAACACUGACGCUCAUGCACGAAAGCGUGGGGAGCAAACAGG
rnacentral:rRNA from 1 species